UGAAAUUCGCACCUAUUAGGCGUCAUUGUUGAAAAUCAAAACAAACUUUUUUUGGGGGUGUAAGACUAGGUUCAACCACUAGACAGAUGAUCACGAGCCGAGAAAUAACCUAUCAUGCGUCCAAUGGGCCUGGAGCUUAUACUAUUACUCAGAGUCCGAAGAUGACGAACGAAGGGUCGGGCCCAUAAUUCAUUUAAGUCAUAUGGACCUAAUCCAAGAAUCUAAACUGGAAAAA
rnacentral:lncRNA from 1 species